AUGGAAUUGCCCCCCAACCAAAAAACUAUUGUUGUUUCCAUCAAUCAGACAUUGCUUCUAGAGAUGUUAGAAUAUGCUUCCAAAAAAUAUAUAAUUUGCAUCCAAAGAAAUCAAAAAUUUCUGGAACUUGAGCCAGAUACUAGCACAUUGUCUCUUCUGUGGACAAUAUCAUCACUAGCCUCUAAAUCUUGUCCACCCACAAUCUCCCCACUGGGCAUGGCAAGGCCAUUGGCUCAUUUGUGUCUUCCACAACACCGUAAAUAUCGCACAUACAGCUUGAGGCUAUGGCCACCAUGUUAUCAAGGGCGGCGCCGAGCAGAACUCACAGAUGGUUCGAUCACCUACAUUCCAAAAAGUUUAUAG
rnacentral:rRNA from 1 species